rnacentral:rRNA from 1 species
GACGAACGCUGGCGGCGUGCUUAACACAUGCAAGUCGAGCGAGGUCCAUCUGGUGGCAACACUGGGGAAGACCUAGCGGCGAACGGGUGAGUAACACGUGAGCAACCUGCCCCGAAGACUGGGAUAACACCGGGAAACCGGUGCUAAUACCGGAUGUCCUCCUCUGGUCGCAUGGCCUAAGGAGGAAAUGAGCUUUGCUUCGGGAGGGGCUCGCGGGCUAUCAGCUUGUUGGNGAGGUAACGGCUCACCAAGGCGACGACGGCUAGCUGGUCUGAGAGGACGACCAGCCACACUGGGACUGAGACACGGCCCAGACUCCUACGGGAGGCAGCAGUGGGGAAUCUUGCGCAAUGGGCGAAAGCCUGACGCAGCAACGCCGCGUGGGGGAUGAAGGCCCUCGGGUUGUAAACCCCUUUCAGCAGGGACGAAUCUGACGGUACCUGCAGAAGAAGCCCGGCCAACUACGUGCCAGCAGCCGCAGUAAC